rnacentral:rRNA from 1 species
GCGCGAAAACUUUACAAUGCUGGCAACAGCGAUAAGGGAACCUCGAGUGCCAGGUUACAAAUCUGGCUGUCGAGAUGCCUAAAAAGCAUUUCAUAGCAAGGGCCGGGCAAGACCGGUGCCAGCCGCCGCGGUAACACCGGCGGCUCGAGUGGUAACCGUUAUUAUUGGGUCUAAAGGGUCUGUAGCCGGCCGGAUAAGUCUCUUGGGAAAUCUGGCAGCUCAACUGUCAGGCUAUCAGGAGAUACUGUCUGGCUCGAGGCCGGGAGAGGUGAGAGGUACUUCAGGGGUAGGGGCGAAAUCUUGUAAUCCUUGAAGGACCACCAGUGGCGAAGGCGUCUUACCAGAACGGACCUGACGGCAAGGGACGAAAGCUAGGGGCACGAACCG